GCCGCUCGCUCUGCUGGGCGCACGCGGCGAGUGUGAGGGGAGAGACCGGCGACUGCCGGGGGAGGGGGACUCUCGCCUUCCGACGCGGCGCAAACUGAUGAUGUCACGUUGCCUGGGCGACCCAGGCGCGCCUGACAGGAACCGCCCCCCUCCCCGGGAAGGCGCAGAGAGGCGGCCCAGGGCUGCGGGCGGGUGUCCGCUCGCUGCUUUCGAGACGGGCUUCAAGGGCAGCGCCCGCAGCUUACAAAGCCCCCUUCCCCCAGCGGGUGCCCGCCCCCCGGCCUGGUUGCCCCUUCCCCCCCGCUGGUGCUCAUCGCCCCGCGCCCUGGUGCCCUCCCGCUUAGCAGAUGCUCAGCGGCGGCUGUAGCCUUUUUGCCGCCCCAAGCCCUGCAGUGAGGCAGCCUGCGGCAGGUCCCUGAUCCUGCGGCUUCGGCUACCCGCCGCGAAUUGCCGCGCUUGGGGCGCUGAUGCCGGGGAGCAGCCGCUGCCCUCACAUGGCCACGUCACAUGGCCCAGGGUGGCGCAUGUGGACGGGAGGAGCGCCACAUCAUCCCACACCUGUGACCGGGAGCUGCCCUUGACCAGCCCGUCGUCCAGAUAGAGGAAGAUCUGGACCUCACAACGUCUGAGGCCAUGCAGCUUCACAUCCAGCUGUUCCGCAAACAGGGCCUUGCCAUCAAACUGCAGGUCCUGAAAGGAGGUCUGCGCCUCACUGGACAGCCCAGACAACAGGAGCCACAGCACCCUCCUCAUGGAGGCCAUGGACCAUGCACCUGUAUCUGCCGCAUCCGACGCUGCCUGCAGGGUUGCCUUGGCAGCCUCUGUACUCUCCUCUACCAGAGCCUUGAAUUCCUUCCUGUAACAUUCCUGGAGAGAGUCCUCGAAUUUGGGCAGAGAGCCCCAGAAAUUGAACUCAUACCAACCCAGGAGAGCCUGAUGAUUCUCCACCCAU